CGAUCGGCGGUCUGGAUUUCUACUAUCAGAUCACGCUCACAAGCGGCGAUCCGGGUGCGGAGGUGAGCUCCGUUACGCUGGGGCUUUUCGACCCGUAUCUGGUCGCGGCCGGGAUCGAUCCGCGCGUCGGGCCCAUCGUCUCCACUGACCCCCUUAAUGGUCGGACAGGAGGCACGCAGACGCCGGUUCUCGUGUCUUACGAUGCGGGCGCAAUCCAGUUCGGCUUUUCCUCGCAGACGCAGCCCGGGGAAACGCUCACCGUCGAUGACCCCCAAAGCGCGUGGAUGGUGCUGCGGACUUCGGCGCGUAGUUAUGCCUUCGACGGCACCGCGGACAUCGUCGGCAGCCUCUCGACCAACGCCGAGAUCCUCGUACCGACCGCCACCGUCCCGCCGCCCACGCCGCUCGUCGUCACUGGCGCGGGCACGGGGUCGCUGGUGCAGGUCUUUGACCCGGCGACUGGCACCCUCCAGAAGAGCUUCAAUGCCUUCGGACCCCGCAACAAAUACGGCGUGCGGGUGGCCACCGGCGAUGUCAAUGGGGACGGCGUGGAGGACAUCAUUGUCGGGUCGGGUCGCGGGAUCGUCGGUGGAGCGCAUGUGCGGGUCUUUGACGGGGCUGAUCCAGCCCAUCCGGCCUUGCCCGGAGUGCUGGGCGAUUUCAGGCCCUUCGGCUCCGGUUUCCUCGGCGCCGUGAAUGUCGCGGUGGGCGAUGUGAAUGGCGAUGGCAAGGCGGACAUCAUCGUCGCCCCGGGUUCCGGCAGCUCGGGCCAGGUGCGCAUUUUCAGCGGAGUGGAUGGCUCGUUGCUCACCAAGUUUACCGCGCUCUCGAAAGUGAACGGCGGAGUGCGGGUGGCGGCGGGCGACCUCGAUGGUGACGGGCUCGACGAAGUGAUCGUCGGCGCGGGGAUCGGUUCGGCCGUGAAGGUCUUCGACGGACUCACUGGAGCGCCGGUGGCUGGGAUGAGUUUCAAGGCCUUCGGCCCCGGAUACAAAGGCGGAGUGACCGUCGCCAGCGGCGAUGUGAAUGGCGACGGCCUCGACGAAAUCCUCGUCGGCACCGCCAGUGGGGCAAAUCUGGUGAGAAUCUUCGAUCACACCCUCCUCAAGCUGGCGGAAUUCCAGACUACCGCCCGCCUCGGCGUGCGCCUCGCCACCGCCGACGUGAAUGGCGACAGCUUCGCCGACAUCGUUGCCGGCAGAGGCGUGGGUGAGAACUCGGCGGUGAGCAUCUUCGAUGGCAUCACUCGCGGAAAGAUCCGGGACCUAACCGGCUACUCGGUGUCGGGCAAAAACGGAGCUUUCGUCGGCUAAACUGGUCGCCGCCAGGGCGGCGAUUUGCUAAAGAUUCCAUCAUCGCGAUAGUGGGUGAUGUUUCGCGCGCCCAAAGGUCAACCACACCUCCCGCAGAAGGCAGUCCGGCUCCAGCAGUCAGGCUACCGUCGCCGGUGGAAACCCGCGCGGCGCGAUUCCCGCUUACCUGAGAUCCCACCGCGCCUCGAGCAGCCAACACCCUCGGGUCCGGCAGCUUAGCGCCAUGUUGUACCUCAACAAACAUCAGCAAUCUCCCAGCAGCGAAACGCAACGCGCCCUCCGCGCUGCCGAUGGCUAUCUCGUCCUCGGCCUGCCGAACGAGGCCCUCGAGGAACUCCAUGCCGUCGCGCCCCAGGAACGCGAACUGCCGGUCGUCAUCCUCGCCCGCAUUCGCGUCCUUCUGCAUCUCCGACGCUGGGCUCCUGCCGAAGCGCUCUCGCGCCACGGAGCCG
rnacentral:misc_RNA from 1 species